rnacentral:rRNA from 1 species
UUAAGCAUAUCAAUAAGCGGAGGAAAAGAAACCAACAGGGAUUGCCCUAGUAACGGCGAGUGAAGCGGCAACAGCUCAAAUUUGAAAUCUGGCUUCGGCCCGAGUUGUAAUUUGUAGAGGAUGCUUUUGGUGAGGUGCCUUCUGAGUUCCCUGGAACGGGACGCCAGAGAGGGUGAGAGCCCCGUAUAGUCGGCCACCGAUCCUCUGUAAAGCUCCUUCGACGAGUCGAGUAGUUUGGGAAUGCUGCUCAAAAUGGGAGGUAUAUCUCUUCUAAAGCUAAAUAUAGGCCAGAGACCGAUAGCGCACAAGUAGAGUGAUCGAAAGAUGAAAAGCACUUUGAAAAGAGGGUUAAAUAGCACGUGAAAUUGUUGAAAGGGAAGCGCUUGUGACCAGACUUGCGCCGGGCUGAUCAUCCAGUGUUCUCACUGGUGCACUCGACCCGGCUCAGGCCAGCGUCGGUUCUCGCAGGGGGAUAAAAGCUUCGGGAACGUGGCACCUUCGGGUGUGUUAUAGCCCGCUGCUUAAUACCCCUGUGGGGACCGAGGUUCGCGCUCUGCAAGGACGCUGGCAUAAUGGUCAUCAGCGACCCGUCU